GGGUAGUUUGACUGGGGCGGUCUCCUCCUAAAGAGUAACGGAGGAGCACGAAGGUUGGCUAAUCCUGGUCGGACAUCAGGAGGUUAGUGCAAUGGCAUAAGCCAGCUUGACUGCGAGCGUGACGGCGCGAGCAGGUGCGAAAGCAGGUCAUAGUGAUCCGGUGGUUCUGAAUGGAAGGGCCAUCGCUCAACGGAUAAAAGGUACUCCGGGGAUAACAGGCUGAUACCGCCCAAGAGUUCAUAUCGACGGCGGUGUUUGGCACCUCGAUGUCGGCUCAUCACAUCCUGGGGCUGAAGUAGGUCCCAAGGGUAUGGCUGUUCGCCAUUUAAAGUGGUACGCGAGCUGGGUUUAGAACGUCGUGAGACAGUUCGGUCCCUAUCUGCCGUGGGCGCUGGAGAACUGAGGGGGGCUGCUCCUAGUACGAGAGGACCGGAGUGGACGCAUCACUGGUGUUCGGGUUGUCAUGCCAAUGGCACUGCCCGGUAGCUAAAUGCGGAAGAGAUAAGUGCUGAAAGCAUCUAAGCACGAAACUUGCCCCGAGAUGAGUUCUCCCUGAGACUUUAAGUCUCCUGAAGGAACGUUGAAGACGACGACGUUGAUAGGCCGGGUGUGUAAGCGCAGCGAUGCGUUGAGCUAACCGGUACUAAUGAACCGUGAGGCUUAACCUUACAAC
rnacentral:rRNA from 1 species